GAUGAAGAACGUAGCAAAAUGCGAUAAGUAAUGUGAAUUGCAGAAUUCAGUGAAUCAUCGAAUCUUUGAACGCACAUUGCGCCCGCCAGUAUUCUGGCGGGCAUGCCUGUUCGAGCGUCAUUUCAACCCUCAAGCACAGCUUGGUGUUGGGACUCGCGUUAAUUCGCGUUCCCCAAAUUGAUUGGCGGUCACGUCGAGCUUCCAUAGCGUAGUAGUAAAACCCUCGUUACUGGUAAUCGUCGCGGCCACGCCGUUAAACCCCAACUUCUGAAUGUUGACCUCGGAUCAGGUAGGAAUACCCGCUGAACUUAAGCAUAUCAAUAAGCGGAAGGA
rnacentral:misc_RNA from 1 species